GACCGUUACGGUGGUCUAGUGGUUAGAGCGUCUGCCUCAGAUGCGGGAGGUCGUGGAUUCGAGCCCCGGCUGAGUCU